rnacentral:rRNA from 1 species
GAUGAACGCUGGCGGCGUGCCUAAUACAUGCAAGUCGAGCGAACAGACGAGGAGCUUGCUCCUCUGACGUUAGCGGCGGACGGGUGAGUAACACGUGGAUAACCUACCUAUAAGACUGGGAUAACUUCGGGAAACCGGAGCUAAUACCGGAUAAUAUAUUGAACCGCAUGGUUCAAUAGUGAAAGACGGUUUUGCUGUCACUUAUAGAUGGAUCCGCGCCGCAUUAGCUAGUUGGUAAGGUAACGGCUUACCAAGGCAACGAUGCGUAGCCGACCUGAGAGGGUGAUCGGCCACACUGGAACUGAGACACGGUCCAGACUCCUACGGGAGGCAGCAGUAGGGAAUCUUCCGCAAUGGGCGAAAGCCUGACGGAACAACGCCGCGUGAGUGAUGAAGGUCUUCGGAUCGUAAAACUCUGUUAUUAGGGAAGAACAAAUGUGUAAGUAACUAUGCACGUCUUGACGGUACCUGAUCAGAAAGCCACGGCUAACUACGUG